GUGGGGAAUAUUGGACAAUGGGCGAAAGCCUGAUCCAGCCAUGCCGCGUGUGUGAAGAAGGUCUUCGGAUUGUAAAGCACUUUAAGUUGGGAGGAAGGGCAGUAAGUUAAUACCUUGCUGUUUUGACGUUACCGACAGAAUAAGCACCGGCUAACUUCGUGCCAGCAGCCGCGGUAAUACGAAGGGUGCAAGCGUUAAUCGGAAUUACUGGGCGUAAAGCGCGCGUAGGUGGUUUUGUAAGUUGGAGGUGAAAUCCCCGGGCUCAACCUGGGAACUGCCUACAAAACUGCAUGACUAGAGUACGGUAGAGGGUAGUGGAAUUUCCUGUGUAGCGGUGAAAUGCGUAGAUAUAGGAAGGAACACCAGUGGCGAAGGCGACUACCUGGACUGAUACUGACACUGAGGUGCGAAAGCGUGGGGAGCAAACAGGAUUAGAUACCCGAGUAGUCC
rnacentral:rRNA from 1 species